GUUAAGAUAAACAUAUCUCGCCAAUCAGACAGCACUACCAUCUCGGCUAAACGGCAUUAUUAAAUCAUGUGCAGUCCUGUUAUCCUUGCAGCUAUGAAUAAUCAGGAAGCACAUAUUCCCGAGUCCCAACAGGUGCAGUCCAGUUGCAGGACAUACAAUGCACUGGAAAGUCUUCCCAUAUAAUUUAUUCUCUUCACGGUUUACUCCAUUAGCAGCAUGACAGUACAAUGGCAGCAGAGAAGUGGGUUAAUGUGAAAGUGAACAAAUUAUUGCACAUUCCACAUGACCGUCAAAAACAUUACAGUGCCAAAAAUCAAGCUUAUCGGUAUUACAAUUAUUAACAAAACAGAGGCACGACUAGCAUUAUAGGAAUUAUGUGAGUAAUAAGUAAAUGAAAACAUCCAGAAUACACAGUACCGCAGGAAAUCCACAUUUGCAAAAGGAAACCUAGUUUCCCUGUGCACUUUGCUGCAUGCUAUGCUUUUGGUGUUGUUUUUACACCUAUCAAAAAUGUUAUAGUAAAGACAUCCCUAGGUCACCCCGAAAUUCUGUAUCACAACUUGGCAAAGCUUUUUUGCAGGCGACGUAAAGCUAAAGGAUUGGGAACGCCUCACAAUUCCUUAGCCCUCUUACGGUAGUUACAACCUGCCUCAACACAAAUACACUUCGUGAGAUUCAAAGGUGCAUACCGUUACAAUCUCACAAAGAAUGUUUCACGCUCUACAAGUAUGACUCAAGAAAUCAAACAAUACAAGAACAUAACUAAUGGUCUUGGAGUAUUGUACAAAAAUUAUGUUAGAUAUAUGUAUGCGCACUUAAUAAAAUUUUAAAUAACUAAAAGCACCUUACGCAUAAACUGGAAGUCUCCGAUAAUAUCAGCAAGCAGAAUUGACUUUAUUCUACAAGCCUGCAAAUCAGUCAUCUGUGCAUUUCAGUAUUCUUUGUAACAUAACGCAGAAAUGGGGCAUAAAUGUUUCAAUUUGAGGAACACACACUGGCACAAAUGAGCAAAACAAAAGUUAACCGUGGCAUUGGUGCAAGAGCAGAAACAUAUUGCACGUUGAACAUGCACUACCACAAGAGAAGGCUUAGCACAAGACAUAUCGCAUUCCUGAGAAACGAGGAACAAUUUGUACUUUGGCAUAGCUCGUUUAAGUGUUUGAUGUCUAGUUGUCUGUGUCUGUAAAAUCUAGAAAUUAAAAAUUGCACCUAUAAAUAAAAGAACUGUAUGCACAAGGUAAUGCGAUCAAUGCGCUAUAACGCAUCAUAUACUGGCAAGCUAGACAAAAUGGCAGCAAUGAAAGAACAGCAGGCACUUUAAUGAGCACCUUUCAUUGUCGCAAUGCAUCAUUAUCUGUAUCUGGUAGUAAAAUAAUUUCUUUCAUGCCAGGAGUGUCAUUAUAUGUGCUAAUAUUCAUGCACGCAAUUCCACCACCUUACUCCGCAUGUGUUUUAUUUUAAAGAAAGUACGUUUCAUGGCUGCCUCCUGCUGAACAAACCAAGCUGCUGUUGCCGUUGCAGGUAAUUCUGUUGUACUCUUAUCAAACAUUCACUGACCGUCAAUCGCAUGCCACACACUCUGCUCGAAAUGCGCAGCAACCUUAUGUAAUGAAAUUACAGAAGGCGUAUCUCAAGAUCAAGCACAAACAAAAUGUACACCUUAACACCUCAAAGCUGCUUAGCUUAGUAUCCAUUGCCCUGUUUUUCAUUCAUUGCAAAUUUUGUGAGCUCUGGCGCUGCUUGGCAAUCUGUAAAUCUAUUUUAGCACGUUCCGUUUGGACAUGUGUCAAGGCAAUAAGGGCAUCAGCCAGGCAGCCAAAUUUUUCAAUUGUUGAGACAGCUGCAUCAGUGAAAUUAAUUAAAUGUUCGGCUGCAUGUGCUAUCUUCGUUACUACCUCUGCUGCAGUCUGUGUGGUUGCUUGUACUGUCUCAGCUGCCCUUUUCUGCUCCUGCAGGGCAGCUGCCUCAAGCUCAACGUUCUGCCGAUUAAGCUGGAUCACCUCCUGUAAGUGCAUGGCCUGCUGCAUUGGUUUUGAUAGGCGUGCAGUAAAACGUGGUGUGGCAACAGGCUGCCGUGUUGCUGCUGCUGAUGGCUGCCGUGUGCUGCUGACUGGUGUGGUGUGGUGGUGCUGCUGCUGAGUGCUCUGGCUGAUAGGAACAGGCUCGUUCAGGUCUUGUUGCUGAUGACUGCUGUGAAUGGAAACAGCAUCGUCACCUGCUGCCGUGGCUGUCUGGCUGUACUCUCUAUCUGAUUGUAUGCUGUCUAAGGAAAGUGGGCUCCCUGGCACAUCAACAACAGUGGGAACAGGGCCCAGUGUGUCACCAGGGAUCUGCUGGCAUCAUUGUCAUCAGGAUGACACCACCUCUACUGGGCGUGGCAAUAUGAGUGGUGGGAUCGCAACUUGUUUGGACCAACAACACAAGCAGUGGCCUGCCCACUUUACACAGACUGUGCUUGUAAAUCUGCCUCCUGGAGUUUUGUAAAAUGUCAUAUAGAAGACGUUACAUAGUGUAUUUGCAAGAUAAUCAUGAAGACUGCUAUAGUGAUUGCUGAAAUUUCAUGCGCAAAAGGGCUUAUAAAGGAAGCACCAUGCCCGUUGCUGCUCAGUACUCGCUCGCUCACGUCUAUGCCGCCUGGUAAGCCCACAAGCAUGGGAUUUUCAGGCCCGAUGACAUCUCUGACGGCUUCCAGCAGGGCAGGUAUGUCAUGGUCAUUUCGACCAGCACCUGCAAACAUUCCAGACAUGCGUCACCCCUGUGCGCACAAGAAAACGCUGUGCAUAGUGACUAUAAGAUGUGUUUGCAUCACGAAAUACUAGUAGGAUUUAGAUAGAGCACGCACAUUAACGCACCUUUUGCAACAAUUCAUUACUUUAUAUGCAGCUGUAGCGGUGUCAGGAAAAGUCAAUUGAUGAUUGUGUGUGAUUAGUAUGCACAGUGUACCAUGUUUUAUCUGCAUGUUCUUGUGCCUGCCAUAUCAAAAUUACAAAUGUUGCUAUUUAUCAUGGAAUUAUGAGAUGUCACACGUUGUUUGUGCAGCCAUUGUGCUUUAUUAGCAUUAUUUAAUCUUUAUUCUAAAUGACGUGUUCAGCACUGAUUGCUUGAUGGUCUUGCUUCUGCGCAAAAUAAAUGUUUCCUUUUCUGUGUAA